rnacentral:lncRNA from 1 species
UGAGGUCCUCAGAAAGAAUAAGGAAACCGAGGCCACAUUACGGAAUCUUGUAAUGAUCGGCAGUUGCCCCUGAGCUAGAAAGAUUUUUGCCUUUGUUGUAUUUGUCCCAUUAUAAUUCAAAAUUGCCAAUUAACUAAAGAACGAGAAGAAGAAGUAGAGGCAGAUUGUGUAAUGGUCGACAGUUAUCCCUGAACGAGAAAAGUUUUUACCUUUGUUGUAUUUGUCCGAUACCAACUCUAAAUUGUAGGUGAAUAAGGGAUUUUUUCUUUAUGCCAAAACGAUGGACUAGCCAAAUACUCAUGCAGGUAGAGGCCAAUAAACCAAAGAAGAAGAAGACGUACAUAACCUAUUGAAACUAGGUUUGAAAGAACGUCAUACUAUGUAGAAUUAUGACCGAAGUUAACUAGCUGACGUUUAAAGGUAUAAAG